rnacentral:rRNA from 1 species
UCGGAGGGAGCUAGCGUUGUUCGGAAUUACUGGGCGUAAAGCGCGCGUAGGCGGCUUUGUAAGUUAGAGGUGAAAGCCCGGGGCUCAACCCCGGAAUUGCCUUUAAGACUGCAUCGCUUGAAUCCGGGAGAGGUGAGUGGAAUUCCGAGUGUAGAGGUGAAAUUCGUAGAUAUUCGGAAGAACACCAGUGGCGAAGGCGGCUCACUGGACCGGCAUUGACGCUGAGGUGCGAAGCGUGGGGAGCAAACAGG